rnacentral:rRNA from 1 species
GAUGAACGCUGGCGGCGUGCCUAAUACAUGCAAGUCGAACGCUUUGUCUUUAAUUGAUAUGAAGAGCUUGCUCUGAUUUGAUUUUAUCUGACAAAGAGUGGCGAACGGGUGAGUAACACGUGGGUAACCUACCUCUUAGCAGGGGAUAACAUUUGGAAACAAGUGCUAAUACCGUAUAACACUAACAACCGCAUGGUUGUUAGUUGAAAGAUGGUUCUGCUAUCACUAAGAGAUGGACCCGCGGUGCAUUAGCUAGUUGGUAAGGUAAUGGCUUACCAAGGCGAUGAUGCGUAGCCGAGUUGAGAGACUGAUCGGCCACAAUGGGACUGAGACACGGCCCAUACUCCUACGGGAGGCAGCAGUAGGGAAUCUUCCACAAUGGGCGCAAGCCUGAUGGAGCAACGCCGCGUGUGUGAUGAAGGGUUUCGGCUCGUAAAACACUGUUAUAAGAGAAGAACGACAUUGAGAGUAACUGUUCAGUGUGUGACGGUAUCUUAUCAGAAAGGAACGGCUAAAUACGUG